ensembl:lincRNA 1810007D17Rik RIKEN cDNA 1810007D17 gene
CUUCUUUCGUCAUCCCCAGCUUUCCUUUCAGGAACCCAGUAACCUGUGGCUGCAGGCGGCUACAGAUGGUGCCCGAACAAGUGGCCUGAAAACGAAAAGAACGACUGAGGGACACUGUCUUGGUGUGGCCCCAUAGAAAAUGGAAGAUGGUAUCCUGCCUGGUGUGCAUGUAUUUGCCACUUGGGUACAGAGGCCAAAAGAGAGCAUCGGGUGUCACAAAGCUGGAGUUACAGGUGGUUGCAAGCUGCCGGGUGGGGACUUCUAAAAGAGAAGCAAGAGUUCUUAAUUCUUAAGCCUUGAGCCAUCACGCUGAGUCCCUGACGUACUCCACUUUAUGAUUAUCUUGACUUCUGAAUGAACUCAACUACUGGGGAAACCACAACUUGUUCCAGAAGCCAUGCCACCCUGGUAAAAAUCACAAUUCCCCUGAGCAAAUAGCCACACCACUCCUCUCAACAGCCAAUCAGUUCUUGAGGGGAAAGUACCUAAUGCCUAAAGUAGAUUGCUUAAGUGAGCAACCAUUGUUCAUAACAAGCUGAAAUCAUUACUAGCCAAUAGAAGUACGACAAGCAAAUGUCAACCAAUCAUGUAACUGCCAAGUUGGAAAGUCCCUUAUCCUGCUGCAACCAUGAUAAAUAGGCAGGGCUUGUACCAGCUUAGCACCUUCCACACUUUUCACUGUCCUGGAGAGGUUGGAGGUCUGAACCAGAGCGUGAAUAAAGACUCUUAACUUUUGCAUAUC